AGAAUAUGGCCUGGCCGAGAGAAAGCUUCUAACUUUAAUCUCAAGUAACUUUAUAUUCUU
rnacentral:tRNA from 1 species